CGCUUGGCGCGGCCGCAGCGCCUCGGAGCCGGGCCGCCAGGAGCUCCACAACAGGGCUCGGGUUCUAGGAGAUAAAGGUGCAUCACGUUACUCGCUGACAGUGCACAGAUUCCUGCAGGUCCGGGGCCCUGAAUUUGGCAAGGGAGACCAGCUGCAGAGUCGAGGGGUGGAGCUGCACCGCAGCUUCUGGACCAGGGAACGCCCGCCUAUUCCUACCUGGCUAUCCUCCCUCUCCACUCCACAAACCCCACCACCAUAGCACAAUCGUGGGACAGGUCCCCACCCUUCUUCUUGCUCUGGCGAUGAAACUCCCACCUUCACCUCUGGGAACUUCAACCACGAAUAAUUUACCCACGGAGGCACAGGAAAGUAAUUCCCGAACAAGCCUACCGAUCUCUGGGAGAAGUACGCUCGGAAUAACGGACCAGAAUAGGCUAAGGCUGCGUGUUCUUUAAUCACAAAAUCAGAUUAAAGUCACUGGGGCUGGAAGAAAGGGAAGAGUUAGGGUAAUAUGAACAACUGUGUUUCAAGGCUCAGUUAAUGAGUCACAGGCCAUAACGGAAUUUCGGGGGGGGGGGGGUCGUGAGUUCUAGAUCCUGGAUGGUUUGGUUGAUACCCCUGAGUCUUUCGGCUGUGGUCCCUAGGUUGCCGGUGAGAGCAGGGGAAAGUCAGGAAUGGACUCUAGAGGUGGAAAGCUAAGUGGCAUCAGGGACAAACAUUCUCCCCACUCCCUCAGUCUUCCAAUCAUUCCCCCACCCGCUGCAGAACGCUCAGGGUUCUGGCAGGUUCAAGAUACCCGUUUCUGAGUCCCCGGGGGUUACUGUAGCCAGUGUUGUGCAGGUGGGAGAUCAGCGAUUAGAGCCCAUUUCGGAGGCUGCAAAGUAUCUGAAGCUUAAACAGGAGGCAGCCUUGAACGCGCACCUCUCACACUGAGGCUGCCUGGGUAAGAGAAAGCCUGCAGCUCACCUUGCGAGUUGCAGCCUCCCAAGUGCAAACGUCCAGAUCAAGCUUGCGCAGCAAGAGGACACCCCAAUUAUCGCCCUGAGGUGUACUGACGCCCUCGCCCACCGCAUGUCUCCGCCGCAAACCUCGGGGCAGCUCCCUUUUGCUUAGAGCUGCCUUCACUUCGUUGCCAACGCCCCCUCAAUCCGCCGCUCGCUGUACUGACUGCACCCCUCUCCCCCCGACACACAACACAUUCUCUACCUCACCCAGCUCCUAUACUCGCCAACGCCCCCCGCCCCGCCCUCCGGCCACGGCAGCAACGGCCACGCGCGACACUUAGGGCCAUAGACACAGUAAUCAAACGACGGCCACCAUCAGUAUUCGUGAGGAAGCUGAAGUCAGACCUCUG
rnacentral:lncRNA from 1 species